rnacentral:rRNA from 1 species
GAUGAACGCUGGCGGCGCGCCUAACACAUGCAAGUCGAACGAGAGAUGAAGAGCUUGCUCUUCAAAUCGAGUGGCGAACGGGUGAGUAACGCGUGAGGAACCUGCCUCAAAGAGGGGGACAACAGUUGGAAACGACUGCUAAUACCGCAUAAGCCCACGGCUCGGCAUCGAGCAGAGGGAAAAGGAGCAAUCCGCUUUGAGAUGGCCUCGCGUCCGAUUAGCUAGUUGGUGAGGUAACGGCCCACCAAGGCGACGAUCGGUAGCCGGACUGAGAGGUUGAACGGCCACAUUGGGACUGAGACACGGCCCAGACUCCUACGGGAGGCAGCAGUGGGGAAUAUUGCACAAUGGGGGAAACCCUGAUGCAGCGACGCCGCGUGGAGGAAGAAGGUCUUCGGAUUGUAAACUCCUGUUGUUGAGGAAGAUAAUGACGGUACUCAACAAGGAAGUGACGGCUAACUACGUGCCAGCAGCCGCGGU